CUACGGGUUGCUGCAGUGGGGAAUAUUGCACAAUGGGCGCAAGCCUGAUGCAGCCAUGCCGCGUGUAUGAAGAAGGCCUUCGGGUUUUAAAGUACUUUCAGCGGGGAGGAAGGGAGUAAAGUUAAUACCUUUGCUCAUUGACGUUACCCGCAGAAGAAGCACCGGCUAACUCCGUGCCAGCAGCCGCGGUAAUACGGAGGGUGCAAGCGUUAAUCGGAAUUACUGGGCGUAAAGCGCACGCAGGCGGUUUGUUAAGUCAGAUGUGAAAUCCCCGGGCUCAACCUGGGAACUGCAUCUGAUACUGGCAAGCUUGAGUCUCGUAGAGGGGGGUAGAAUUCCAGGUGUAGCGGUGAAAUGCGUAGAGAUUUGGAGGAAUACCGGUGGCGAAGGCGGCCCCCUGGACGAAGACUGACGCUCAGGUGCGAAAGCGUGGGGAGCAAACAGGAUUAGAUACCCUUGUAGUC
rnacentral:rRNA from 1 species